rnacentral:rRNA from 1 species
UAAUACGGAGGGUGCAAGCGUUAAUCGGAAUUACUGGGCGUAAAGCGCACGCAGGCGGUUUGUUAAGUCAGAUGUGAAAUCCCCGAGCUUAACUUGGGAACUGCAUUUGAAACUGGCAAGCUAGAGUCUUGUAGAGGGGGGUAGAAUUCCAGGUGUAGCGGUGAAAUGCGUAGAGAUCUGGAGGAAUACCGGUGGCGAAGGCGGCCCCCUGGACAAAGACUGACGCUCAGGUGCGAAAGCGUGGGGAGCAAACAGGAUUAGAUACCCUGGUAGUCCACGCUGUAAACGAUGUCGACUUGGAGGUUGUGCCCUUAAGGCGUGGCUUCCGGAGCUAACGCGUUAAGUCGACCGCCUGGGGAGUACGGCCGCAAGGUUAAA